UUCCGCUUUGGCAGUGCAGUACAGAUAUUGGAGCCAUUCAGAGAAGAUUAGCAUGGUCCCUGCACAAAGAUGAAAUGCAAAUUUGUGAAGCGGUCUAUAUUUUA
ensembl:snRNA U6 U6 spliceosomal RNA